rnacentral:rRNA from 1 species
AGAAAUUCGAUUCCGUAAGUAGCGGCGAGCGAACGCGGAUUAGCCCAAACCAAUAAAGUUUUCUUUAUUGGGGUUGCGGACAUAUCAUAACGAAGAGGUAUCGUAAUUGAAGAGGUUUGGAAAGACCCACCACAGAAGGUAAUAGUCCUGUAUGUUAAACGAGAAGACUUUAGAUAUGAUCCAGAGUACCACGGGACACGUGAAACCCUGUGGGAAGCAGGAGGGACCACCCUCCAAGGCUAAAUACUACCUAGUGACCGAUAGCGUAUAGUACCGUGAGGGAAAGGUGAAAAGAACCCCGGGAGGGGAGUGAAAUAGAACCUGAAACCCUGCACUUACAAGCUGUGGAAGCACAUUUCUUGUGUGACCGCGUACUUUUUGUAGAACGGGCCAACGAGUUACGUUAAGUAGCAAG